rnacentral:rRNA from 1 species
GACGAACGCUGGCGGCGUGCCUAAUACAUGCAAGUAGAACGCUGAAGGAGGAGCUUGCUUCUCUGGAUGAGUUGCGAACGGGUGAGUAACGCGUAGGUAACCUGCCUGGUAGCGGGGGAUAACUAUUGGAAACGAUAGCUAAUACCGCAUAAUAGUAGAUGUUGCAUGACAUUUGCUUAAAAGGUGCAAUUGCAUCACUACCAGAUGGACCUGCGUUGUAUUAGCUAGUUGGUGAGGUAACGGCUCACCAAGGCAACGAUACAUAGCCGACCUGAGAGGGUGAUCGGCCACACUGGGACUGAGACACGGCCCAGAAUCCCACGGGAGGCAGCAGUAGGGAAUCUUCGGCAAUGGACGGAAGGCUGACCGAGCAACGCCGCGGGAGUGAAGAAGGGUUUCGGAUCGGAAAGCUCUGUUGUAAGAGAAGAACGAGUGUGAGAGUGGAAAGUUCACACUGUGACGGUAGCUUACCAGAAAGGGACGGCUAACUACGUG